GCCAAAUGGCCAAUUGGCUAGUGCUCUGGUCUUAGGUACCACAGGCUCCAGGUUCGAAUCCUGGCAGUGGUA
rnacentral:tRNA from 1 species